UGGCUUUCUGAGCUCCUGCAGCUGCACACUGUCCUGAGAGACUCUCACCGCCUUCUGGAGCAAGAAAGAGUGCCUGCAGAGCUUCAGGCUACAGUUCUUAAGGUGCCAGGGAGCAGCUUUCUUUUCCAGGAGGCGCCUUCAGCUUCUAGAAGACGUCCCUCAUCGGCCAGGAAGCAGAUCUCCGGCCAGAGAAGCUAAGACUGAGGCCUCAUCCUCCUCCACACAGCACGCCGGGUAGCCACCACGGCCUGGAGAGAAUCAACGGAUUCGGUGAAAUCUCCUUGCUAUCUCUGGGGUAAAACACAGAAUGCAUACGGAGCAGGGGUUGGCGGUGACCAGGGCAAAGCAGUGUAUCUUCGCGAAGCUGGAAUACACUGCAUGUCUCAUAUCACGCAACGUUGUCGGUUGUCUCGGUAGAACUGGUGGCUUCACCUCUUGCCUUUAACACAGCUGAACCACAGAGCCUGUCUUUGGAAAGAGAACUGACACAAAGCAGACGUGGAGAACACCUCUCUGGCGGGCCUGAUGUGAAAAUCAGAAUGAAUAUGUGAGAGGGUCUGGGGCAGGGUCCGGUAUAGAGCGUGUUCCCACAAAGGUGGCACUUGUUAUUGCUCUCCUAGUCCCUACAAGACAUUCCUACAUUCUAACAGAUAAUUCGUAACAGCCUCCUUCAAGUCUCCUUAAAGGAUUUUCUUUCCUACCCACCAGCACAAAAUUAUGUUGCCAAAUUAUGUCACCUAAUAACGUUGGUGUGGCUUUCUUUCUGUUUCUCUCCUGAGAGCACAGGGUCUCCCUCAUUCCCUCAUUAUUUUACAGGAGAGCUUAUCACAUUGCUUGGGUAUAAUUAAUAUCCAACCCACAAAUAAACACCAUGCCUGGGGUUCAUCUCCUGAUGCCAGCAUUUUGUCCCUUCCUCGCAGCUACCGUCACUUCAUGAAGAACAUCAUAGUGUGUCUUCUAUAUAAUCCAUGCUUUGUAAUUCACCAACCCCAAGACGAUGGGCCUCCUUCUCAUUCAGUAGGAAGUCAUAGGAACUCCCUUCCUAUUUAAAAUAUUCUAUAGCAGUAACCUUCAUGAGCCCCACAAAGCAGCUGUCUGUGUUAGGACAGGAAAAGCUGGAACACAUUGAGCAAGGUUUUGUUUUGGUUUUUAAAUUGCAGGCUUCAGGGAUCUCCCCCCUUCUCGGGCUCAGAAACUAAGCUGUUGAACAGGGCUGAGAGCCGCAGUUUGCAGGAGCAGCUGAAAGCUAUUUCACCAUGAAGCAGACCUUGGCAGGUCUCGAAAGCUCCAUAUGGUCUGCAGCUCUGGUCUCCAGGAAGCGCCCAGUUCAUUCUCCCCACUUAGUUUGCCUUGUGUAUAAUCCCGGCUUGUUUGUUUGUAAGGCAACGGUAUAGAAAAGAAGCCUUGCUCUGUGGUUUUUUGUCCUAGUCACCUUUAUGGGAAUAAUUCACUAAGAUGCAAUUUAGUAUAUAUUCCAUCUAUGGAUUCUCUGCCAAGUUACCUCGUGAGACAGCUAAGCUGUCCUGAACCGAGAAGGACUCAAGGAGGCAAAUGGAGUUGUUACCUUCAAGCAGCCAAGCCAUGGGAGAUACGCCUACCUUCCCCAGCACUGUGGAAGCCUCUGAAUCACCGAGACCGCCUUCCUUCUCCAGCUCUCCUGCCCUGCUUCCCAGAAGCGUGAACAGACUCCUCUCCCAGCCCCAGAUCCAAAGCCCUCAUGCACAUAGAGACCAGCUCUGCCAUUUCAUCAGUCCAUGGCUCAGUCCUGGGAAAGGCAGCUUGCCAGGACACCCACCUGAUCUCAAGGGAAUUGCUGAUCCCGUGAACUUCCUCAGAGUCAGAAUCUGCUGUCACCUUUCAUCAUUUGAUAGAAAAGUAGAGAAAUGUCAGUCUUCCUGAAGCACAAGUGUUAGGGCCACGCUGUCCAACAGAAAUAUAAUAUAAGCCGCCAGUGCUUGCUGUCCUUUGGCAAAUGUCAUUUCCGAUGUUCUAGAAGCCACACUUAAAAUAAAUAA